GGGAUAACGCCUGGAAACGGGUGCUAGAACCCCAUAUGCCUCGCACGAGGUGAAAGUGUAGCUUGCUACAGCCUUAGGGUGUGCUCGCGGCCUAUCAGCUAGUUGGUGAGGUAACGGCUCACCAAGGCUAAGACAGGUAGCCGGCCUGAGAAGGUGUACAGCCACACUGGAAUUGAGAUACGGACCAGACUCCUACGGGAGGCAGCAAGUGGGGAAAUCAUUGGGCAAUAGGGCGAAAAGCCUGAACCAGCGACGCCGAGUUGGGGAUGAAAACCACUUAGGAGGUGUAAACCCAAUGAGGUAGGGGACGAAGAAAGUGACGGUACCCUACGAGGAAGCCCCGGUUAACUACGUGCCAGCAGCCGCUGUAAGACGUAGGGGGCGAGCGUUGUCCGGAAUUACUGGGCGUAAAGGGCACGCAGGCGGUGCGCCAAGUCGAGGGUGUAAAGUUACGGCUCAA
rnacentral:rRNA from 1 species